rnacentral:rRNA from 1 species
UACGAAGGGGGCUAGCGUUGCUCGGAAUUACUGGGCGUAAAGGGCGCGUAGGCGGUUAGUUUAGUCAGAGGUGAAAGCCCAGGGCUCAACCUUGGAAUUGCCUUUGAUACUGGCUGUCUUGAGUACGGGAGAGGUGAGUGGAACUCCGAGUGUAGAGGUGAAAUUCGUAGAUAUUCGGAAGAACACCAGUGGCGAAGGCGACUCACUGGCCCGUUACUGACGCUGAGGCGCGAAAGCGUGGGGAGCAAACAGG